GCAACCGCCUCUGCAGAUUCAUUAAAAAACUCAGAAAACCCCAUUUGACACAGGUUACUUAAGUUCGACGCUGAGUAAACGCGGUUCUGCCCUGCCACGCAAGUAUUUCAACAGUUGACGCCAAAUUCAUUCCAGAUCGCGGUUGCGAGGUCAAAAAAGAUCAUUCAGACAGUAUUUCGAAACUGCGAUUACAUUGUUAUAGGGGUUAUGAAAACACUGAAUAGGAGUUUCUGUAUUAAAUUUAACGUAUAACAGUCGACACUCAAACAGCGAGUUAAUAAUACACGCGUAUCAGUCACAAUACUUUUAGUUUUAAUUCAGUGUUUUUCGUUUUAAUUGCAAAGGCGUACGUACCUGGAGGAGACGCCGGUACAUUCAUUCAACGUGACUACAGUAAAGCUGCCCUUGUCAUUUUCUUCCUCUCCUGAACAGGUAUCUUCGUACCCUGGAGAGACACCCUGUGUGCUGGGCCUGGUCCGCUGCCUCCUGCUCGCUUGGAGUCUGCCCCUGCUCCAGAUGACACCCAAAAAGGACAGAAAACAACAGGCUUCCCUGUUAAGACAUAAUUUACCCACCAGGGUUAUUUGCCAGAUAGAAGCUGCCAAAACCGUUAACAUUUUUCGGUUAAUCCCUGAACAGUAGAAAGUAAGGAGGAAAAAGGACUAUGGAUCACAAGUGUCCCUUAUGUGAAGAAAUCGCUGCUUUGCCCAGGAUUCGGGAGAGUAUUGUAAAAUGGAAAUGAUUCCUGUUCAAGGUUUUUCUGCUGAGGAUGACCUGCCAAUGGGCAAAACCAGCGAGAGACGACGUUGGGCUGUCCAGAGCACGUUUGCUCUUUUGCAACCAGUGAUGCAAGUCUGUGGCUGGGAGAAACGGAGCAUUUAAGCACAAAGCAAACAUUGUUGGACCCAUCCAGGAUAACCUCUGACCUGUAACGCUCUACAACACAGUGCUGCUAUCUGUAAGCUCAUCUAGAGCACCAGUACACAGGGACGGUGGAACAUGGGCAGAUUUGAAAUUCAAUUAACCUGAGCUCAAUACAAAUUCUAUACUCUUUCAGUUAUAUAUCCUUCACACAAAAGUAAUAUGCAAGUCACAAAUCAUCAUCUCGUGUUAGCCAAAAUGCUUCCAAGUCUAGGGAGUGCAGUCUGUAAAUUCUUUUUACGAUGCCAAAAAAAUCAAAGCAGGAUGGAGCCAAUUAAGAGGGGAGAUGAAUGCUGGAACUUGAAUGCAUAUUAUAUUUUUGGAAAUUAAAAAGUUGGGUAGAUGUGAUUAA